UACGUAGGGUGCAAGCGUUGUUCGGAAUUACUGGGCGUAAAGCGCGCGUAGGCGGGUUCGUAAGUCGAUUGUGAAAGCCCUGGGCUUAACCCGGGAAUUGCAGUCGAUACUGCGAAUCUUGAAUGCCUGAGAGGAUGGCGGAAUUCCCGGUGUAGAAGUGAAAUUCGUAGAUAUCGGGAAGAACACCUGAGGCGAAGGCGGCUAUCUGGCGGUGCAUUGACGCUGAUGCGCGAAAGCGUGGGGAGCAAACAGG
rnacentral:rRNA from 1 species